UACGUAGGGUCCGAGCGUUGUCCGGAAUUACUGGGCGUAAAGAGCUCGUAGGUGGUUUGUCGCGUUGUCCGUGAAAACUCACAGCUCAACUGUGGGCGUGCGGGCGAUACGGGCAGACUGGAGUACUGCAGGGGAGACUGGAAUUCCUGGUGUAGCGGUGGAAUGCGCAGAUAUCAGGAGGAACACCGGUGGCGAAGGCGGUUCUCUGGGCAUUACCUGACGCUGAGGAGCGAAAGUGUGGGGAGCGAACAGG
rnacentral:rRNA from 1 species